AGAACGAACGCUGGCGGCAGGCUUAACACAUGCAAGUCGAACGCUCGUAGCGAUACGAGAGUGGCAGACGGGUGAGUAACACGUGGGAACGUUCCCCUCGGUUCGGAAUAACUCAGGGAAACUUGAGCUAAUACCGGAUACGUCCGCGAGGAGAAAGAUUCAUCGCCGAGGGAUCGGCCCGCGUCUGAUUAGCUAGUUGGUGAGGUAACGGCUCACCAAGGCGACGAUCAGUAGCUGGUCUGAGAGGAUGACCAGCCACACUGGGACUGAGACACGGCCCAGACUCCUACGGGAGGCAGCAGUGGGGAAUCUUGGACAAUGGGCGCAAGCCUGAUCCAGCCAUGCCGCGUGAGUGAUGAAGGCCCUAGGGUUGUAAAGCUCGUUUCGGCGGGGACGAUAAUGACCGGUACCCGCAGAAGAACGCCCCGGCUAACCUUCGCGCCAGCAGCCGC
rnacentral:rRNA from 1 species